GUCGAGCGAAUUGAUGGGAGCUUGCUCCCUGAGAUUAGCGGCGGACGGGUGAGUAACACGUGGGUAACCUGCCUGUAAGAUUGGGAUAACUCCGGGAAACCGGAGCUAAUACCGGAUAACAUUUUGAACCGCAUGGUUCAAAAUUGAAAGAUGGUUUCGGCUAUCACUUACAGAUGGACCCGCGGCGCAUUAGCUAGUUGGUGAGGUAACGGCUCACCAAGGCAACGAUGCGUAGCCGACCUGAGAGGGUGAUCGGCCACACUGGGACUGAGACACGGCCCAGACUCCUACGGGAGGCAGCAGUAGGGAAUCUUCCGCAAUGGACGAAAGUCUGACGGAGCAACGCCGCGUGAACGAUGAAGGCCUUCGGGUCGUAAAGUUCUGUUGUUAGGGAAGAACAAGUACCAGAGUAACUGCUGGUACCUUGACGGUACCUAACCAGAAAGCCACGGCUAACUACGUGCCAGCAGCCGCGGUAAUACGUAGGUGGCAAGCGUUGUCCGGAAUUAUUGGGCGUAAAGCGCGCGCAGGUGGUUUCUUAAGUCUGAUGUGAAAGCCCACGGCUCAACCGUGGAGGGUCAUUGGAAACUGGGGAACUUGAGUGCAGAAGAGGAAAGUGGAAUUCCAAGUGUAGCGGUGAAAUGCGUAGAGAUUUGGAGGAACACCAGUGGCGAAGGCGACUUUCUGGUCUGUAACUGACACUGAGGCGCGAAAGCGUGGGGAGCGAACAGGAUUAGAUACCCUGGUAGUCCACGCCGUAA
rnacentral:rRNA from 1 species